ACGUAGGGUCCAAGCGUUAAUCGGAAUUACUGGGCGUAAAGCGUGCGCAGGCGGUUUUGCAAACCCGAGGUGAAAUCCCCGGGCUAAACCUGGGAAUUCCAUUGGUGACGGCACGGCUAGGGUGUGUCAGAGGGGGGUAGAAUUCCACGUGUAGCAGUGAAAUGCGUAGAGAUGUGGAGGAAUACCGAUGGCGAAGGCAGCCCCCUGGGAUAACACUGACGCUCAUGCACGAAAGCGUGGGGAGCAAACAG
rnacentral:rRNA from 1 species